GGAGAAGAGAGAAGAAAAGAAAAAAAAGAGAAAAACUUUUCUUUUGGAAGGAGGGGUAACCCCAGAACCAGGCUGAGGUGGCUCGAAUUAAAAUGGAGGAUACUGACAAACGUCAAGGGUCCAGCUUAUCAUCAAAGCAUCCUGACCCGAAACCCACCGCUCUGUGUACAAAUCACUGGGUCUGCACCCGAGAAAAGGUGGCGAAUCCAGAGUCCACCCCACAAUUCUCGAGUCUCAGACGACUCAGCUGUGUCAACAGGCGAGAGAAUCUUCUUGUGUAACGGCUAAGUAGAGCUUUCUUUAACUCUAAGCCCAAGAUGGUUGUCCUUUCUCAAAGCAGGGUUCAGAACACACGACAAAGGCAGGGCCAUCCACGUGUGCAGUGUCUCUCCUUAGCUCACUGCUCUCAGGGUAGCCCUGAGGGGUGCAUAGGUUUCACAGGUGGGAUUUCCCACACCACUGUACCAAAUGUGUCAUAGUGUCCAUUUCUGGUCAUUCGGGUCACCUUCUAUUUCCAGCAAACGAGCAACCAUAUUGUCUCGGGGGAGGGGUCUGUCCCCCUCCAAGACACCACUGAUGAUUCAGUCAGCCGGUGGACACAUUCCAGCCACCACUCCUCCUUAGUCUGUUGCUUCCUGGAGACUCAAGAUGCAUUCAGAUAAUCAUUAUCCUCCAGCCUUCACUGAUCCUGACAUCAUUAGGAGAUUCUUCCAUAGCUCCCAGAUGGAGGCUUGAGGUUCUCUGAGGCUACCUCAGGUUCUUUUCACUUAGAAAUUGGAUCUGGAAGAGCCAACUUCACCUAUUUCUUCCUUCAGGGCCUCCUAAACCCUUGGUUCAUUGAGGCUGUUAUUUGGGUACUGUCUGCCCACAUGAAACAUUGUCUCUGACAGGGCCUUCACAUCUCUAACUUAUUCCCCCAUCCCCCAUCUCCCCUCCUCCCUUCCCCUUCAGCUGAGGGGAAAUGUGACAGGAGAGAAGUGGGGACCGGGAUAGCUAGAGUACUUUCAGUCCUGAAUACUCAAGGUCAGCAGACUGUACACCGUUGGUGCUAUCUGCAUCCUGGGAACUCCAAGCGCCAUUCUGUUCUUGGGAGACCGAUUUUCUUUUGUGAGACCAGCAAGGCUGUAAAGUUGAGACCACAGCGUGGUUGAGAAAGAAACACGUCGGCAAGGGAGGUUUUUUUUUCCAGUGUUUGACUCAGAGGCUGAAGUUUCAGACAGACCAAUGCUGGAAAGCCAUUCAGUGCAUCCCAGGCUGAAGGGGAGAGAGAUUUGGCUCUAUAUCCCUAGAGGUAGAGAUCUCUGGAGAGAUCUCUCAUGCUCCAUGUUGUCUUUGUCCACUUCUGAGGCUGCUCCAUGCUCAAAAGGCUGGAUCUAGGAUGCACUGGUUGUCUCCUGGCCUCAGUCUUCCGAGGAGGACAGACCUUGUUCCUCUCCGAGGAGGGUAGAGCGCUCGUUACAGCUGGUGCUCCAGGGUAGCAGAAAUGCUUGAGCAAGUUGGUCGCAACUCCGUAAGAACCGCUGUUGCCCUCGCCUGGCUGUGGUUGCCAUUCAACGACAGGAGAGCAAAAUCUCGGAGUGGUUUUAUAAUGACAGCCGUAAAUGAGGGUGCUUGAGCCCCUUUAAAUCGUUUCUUCUAAAGUGACACGAUUGCAUUUGUCUCAUUUAUACAAAGGUCACCAAGCUCAUACCCAGCUAAUGAAUGGGAAAGCGUGAAGAACUUCAGACAGCGCACAGCGGACCUAAGAGGCACAGGUGGAGGAUGGCAGGCCCUAGUGUCAGGUGUCAGCAGAAUACCUGACGACUGUUGUGUUCUGUUAGGCCCCAUGCCCACCGGGUCCUGUCAAGCCUUCCUGUGUCUGCAACGGAAAUGUCUGAAACAGGCACACAAACUAAGAAGACUGGCAAUCAUUUCAAGCAACUAUGUAUCAAGUGGAGGCAGAUGCCAGGGUGUCGGAACACAGCUUACGACACUGGUGCGGGCGUACACGUCAUCUGCAGGGUUUCCCUACCUUGCCACCAGUGUGGAAGAUGCAAUCAUUUCUGGGAUCCAUCUCGUGUUUACACUGAGCGUGUGACUCAGCCUGCAGAUCUUCCAGUGGCCUGCUUUCUGAAACAUCAGGACAGUUGCAAAAAGAGGCAAGGCACCUCUGCCUUGUGGUGGAUCUGGGGAGCAUUUCAAAACUGGGUGCAGGAGGCUCACCCAGCUGUUGGGGCGGGGGGGGGGGGAGAGAGCUGUGAGAACGCUUUCGUCUGCAGGCUCACCUGCCUCACCAGGCCUCUUCACUGCCUCUGCCCAAGAUGUGAGCACUCGUCCCAUUCACCCUCUGCAGGCCACGUUCUACUCCCUCUAGCUGGUUCACAGUUAACAGCAGCCCAUGCUCCUACCCACAGUAGUUAACUUCUGUCCAGGUACCUUGGACAGGAGGUUUGGUGUCUCUCAACCACAGUUGCCAGGCCAAGUAGAGGAGUAGGCUCUUCUGACGCUGGCCACAGUUCUACCAACUGCUUGCCAGACUUGAAUGCAGGCUUCUGUGUAAGGGUCUCUUAUGCUAUGCAGUUGAUAAUUCAGGCCUAAAUAAAAUGUCUUUGACAUGCACACAUUUUCUGGAGGUCACACCCCAGUCUUCUUACUCUUUGAGGAAUUGGGCUGCCCUUUGGUAUUGUGUGUGUUGGGGGCUAUUCUAAGUUAUGAAAGCACAAAAGGAGGAAAAAACCCUUACACUCCCUGAAUAGAAGGUUCCUAUGUUUGACAUGAGAGAACUGUCUUGUUUGCGCUUGCCAGGAGCACGCGCAUCUGAGGAGCAGCCAUACUUGGCCUCUGGGCCCCGGUCCUUGAAUCUUACAGGUAGCACUAUCUUAAGCUCAAGGGUGACCUGUAUCUGGUACCUUAGGGUGGCCUCUUGCCACCUCCCUUGUUAUGUAGACAAGCUGCAAACCUGAGUUUGUGUUGGAUCUCACUCAGUCCCGGCAGCUGACCUCCACUCAUUGCUUGAGGCCGGUUGACUUAGAGGUUUCCUGUCUAUAGGACUCUCUUCUCUUUUGGCUCCUAUGGAUGCUGUCUUACCAUCUUGCAGUAACAAUUCUCUCCAUAGGUCUUGGCUCUGAGGCUCUGACUGACUCCACAGUCCUGGGCACAGGGCAGUGAAGACCAGGACCUUGAAGUCGGCUGUAGCUUAGAUUUUGUAGUUUUGGCUAUACAAACAAUUUUUAGAGGCUGGGCAGCUUGGCCCAGAUAGAAUCGAAGACCAACUGACCCAAUUUUUAUAAAACUGGGGUCACAAUCUUGUACUGGGUCAUGUGGGAGCAUUUGGGGGCCAUGAAAAAAAUUGGGAACAGUAAAAGGUUUCCAAAUGUGCAAUGGCCAAAAAUUAACUCAGAACCAUAAUGACUCUGAGGUGUUUCCGUGACCUCAUUGCAGCCUUGGUCCUGAAAAUAUAGUGUGUGCGUUUGCACGGUGUGCUGGCUACUGCUUGUCACAGCCAGGAAUGCAGAUUGAGACACCCCAGCUCAGAUUGGGGGCUACUGUGUGUAAUCAUUGCAGUGUAUCAACUCUACACACUGAGUUCCCUUCUCUUACAGGAAGCUAAUGAGUUAAUGCUGGAAACCAAACUCUUACUAUGCUCCUACUGUCACUUCUCAGCAUGCAAGGAUCAGAUCAGCCUGUCUGUGGAUUUUAUUGUCUGAUUUUUAACAAUUAAUGCUUCAGACCUUGACUUGAGCUUCAUAAAACACACACACACACACACACACACACACACACACACACACACACACACACGGAGAGAGAGAGAGACAGAGAGAGACAGAGAGAGAUAGAGAGAGAGACAGAGAGACAGAGAAAGACACACAGAGAGAUACAUUUUAGCUUUAGAUCAAAAGGAAAAUUCCAACAAUUUUUAAAAAGAUCCUAACCAUACUUAGGCCAUUUUGGGCUUUGUGCUUUAUAAAGUAGUAUUCCUAGCAUCUAUGGCUAUAAAAUCAAAAUAUCAACCAACUCUGGGAAUCCUGGAAGAUACUCUGUCCUGAGGCAUCCUGUAUGCAGCUGUGUUUUUUGCUUUUAAUGCAAAAAACAAAGAUACCCAUCCAUUUCAUUUGAAUGGAUUAGAAAUUUGCUUUUGUCUUUAAUAAUUGGUAACAUUAUAAGUACACUGAAAGGAUUGUUUCAAAAUAAAUUCCUUCAUAAUUUAUUAUUGGUAAACAUUUGGUUUGCAUAUAUGUAUGUGUGCAUAUAUAGGUGUGUGUUCAUGCGUGCAUGUGUGAGAGUGUGUGUGUGUGUGUGUGUGUGUAUGUGUGUGUGAGUGUCCUAAAUACCUGGAGGGGAUUGGCUGUUUGAAUUCUCUAUGGUGUCUCCCCAACAUUCAAACCCAAACUCAAUCCCCAUUGGGACAUAAUAAGAGGGUUAGGGCAUGAAUCAGUCAGGCAAGCUACAAGGAUCCAGCCAGGUGCAUUUCCUCCUCCUGUCCUCCCGGCCAUGUGAGGUCAAGGGGCCAUCUUAUAAGCAGAAUCUCAGUUCAUCAGAACCAGAAUAUUCUCACUCCAUACUAGAUACUUUGUUUCCAGAAUCAUCCAUGAGAAGUUCAUUGCUCUUACUUACAAAAGCCCCAGUUUGAGGCAUUAUGAGAAAACACAAAGAGAGUCACUUGUAACUUCCCAAAGCUCACACAGGCUGGUGAGCAUUAAAAACUCAAUGCUGAUUCUUUUCCUGAACCUCUAAGGGGUGCCCUUGGCUGUUCUACCCUCAGCCCUUUUGCUCUCAUGCGACAGUCAAGGACCAAGUGUUCACAGUGACCAGUGGACCUCAUGCUGUCCUCAGCAGUGGACAGCCAGCCAUUACAGGGCAGUCUGGCCCUCCUGGGGGACCUGUGUGGCAUCCAUGCUCCUCAGGGAUUCCUACAGCCUCAGCUCAUGUUCAUCCUAAAGCAGGUGGUUCAGCUCCAGAACUCUGCAUCCCUUCCAGAUCACUAUGUUCUUGGGAGGAAAGAAGAAAAUGUUUUCUAUGUCUUGUUUAUUCUCUUCUAAAAAGACAAUUAGGCUGCAGAGCUUCUCAGGAACACCUCUAGCUCCCAGCCUCCAGGGCUGGAACCUCUGAGAGAGUAAGAGUGCCCUCAAAGCCAGGGUCCAAAGUACUCCGUGGACUGAUUUAGAGUAGAUAUCCCAGAUAUCGAAGACCCAAGAGGAGGUGAGUUCUAGAUCUCUGAUGUUGGGCAGGGAGAGGUGUCACAAUUAGUAUUUACUGUUUCAGUUCAUAAGAGGGGCCGGCACAUAUCUGAGUUAAUGUCGACAGAGAGGCUACCAUGGUGUAUAGCCAGAGACAAGCUUGGGAUAAUGAGAGCAGGUCACAUUGAAGAAGUCAAGCAGCCAAUGUCAUUUUGUGUCAUGUGAAAGGGUGAUAGAGUACCGGAAUUUUUAAAAUGUCCCUGUACCUCAGGUGCUUGAGUACCUCAACUGCCACAGGUUUCUAUUCUCUCUCCCAGUGUCCCCUCCAGGAGGGAAGCAUACAGCGGAGCCCUGCCUCAUCUCUCCUUCAGCUCUCUCUGUGCUAUGAUCAGCUACCCAGAAUUUCCCCUUGUCUGCUGACAGUAUUGCCUUGCAGGGCAUAGAAGUGCAUUGCACAUAGCAUGUAGGAGGGAGAGAUUUCUGUAUACCAUGGAGACGAUACAGGGACUGUUUGAUGGUGCUGGGGGCAUACUUGGUGUCCAAGUUUGGCAGCGCCCUCAUCGAGAUGCCGCCUGAUCUCUUUGCCAGCCGGCUUACAGGAUUCUUGCUUGAUGAUUACGGCUGGAUGGGGAACAGCAGACUCGAUUGAAUGGCGUAGGGAACAGCCCGUAAAUCCUUCGGAGAGUCAUCUCCCCGUCAUUGUCAGCUCUGACUCCUCGGCUCUUACCAACCAGUGAUAUGGGCAUCAUUAUGGUCUCCUUCACUCAUCCUUCACAGUUUAGAGAUGGGGAAAGGGAGAUUAAUUGUAGAGCGAGACUCUUCAACCAUUCGCUGAACCUAUACACCCCUGACAUUAAUCUUUCCCCAAGUGCCAUAUCUUUAACUUGAAAAAAAAAAUCAACCAGGCAGAACCAUGCGUAGAUACAUGCAAAUGCAAAUACAUAAACAGGGAGCAGAGCUGCGGUUGGGGGGAGAGGGCUGUCGGGAGCCGGAGAAUCAGCUGAGAAGGAAGAUGAUGCAUGGGGCUCUUUCUGCAGAAAGCCCUAUCCAUGACUUCCAUUUAUCUGGGACCAUGCGCUAUUUAUCAGAACGGCUUGUUUUGGGUUUGCGCUGUGGAAGACGUUUCCAUGUUCAGUCUGCUCUCAAAUCUUGUGAAUAAAAAUGACUUCGAUGCUUGCUCUCCCACAUACUUCUCCGUCUACAGGCGGAGUCUAGGGACCAUUUGCCCACUAAAUGCUCCUCCAUUCAACAGGAAAACAGACUAAAUAUGCUGAUUCUGAGGUUUUCCACAUUGUAGUGAUUUUUUUCCCCCCAAGUUACAUUAGUCUUAUCACACAUAACUUGGCCAGACCGCUGGACUGCUAGAUGCAGCCUGGAAGACUGACUGCUUAUCUAUACAGAGAUUUUUAGAUAACCAAAGGUCUCUUUUUGCACUGGUAAAAUCAUGCUAACCAGAAAGGCAAAAAAAAAGGCUUCCCCCAGAGGACACAGUGGUGCUCGAGCCUGGGUGGCUGCUGCAGACUCUGUCACAGGACUCUCUUCUCUGCAUUCUCUCCUCAGUGCAGACUGAAACAGUGGAGAUGCCAACACCCAGCACAGUGCAGGUAAGGAGAGGAGCAUGGGUGUGUCUCCCGACUGCUGGUAAGCAGGGUCCUUUAACUACUUGGGUUAAGUUGGAUCUCUCCUCA